GGGAUUGUAGUUCAGUGGUAGAACGUCUUCUUGUGGCGAAGAAAACCUUGGUUCAAUUCUAGGCAUUCCUA
rnacentral:tRNA from 1 species